rnacentral:piRNA from 1 species
UCCUAAGUGAGGCUUCACCUGUCACUGGG